GGACUGGAGCUGGAGGGCAAGGAGACAGAAGAGAAAGGGGACAAGUGGAACGAAGGAGCCAGGGCACUGUUCUAAACACCACUACAUUCAUGCAAUGCUCACAACACUGUGAGGUGGGUGUAUUAUUAUUCCUGUUUUACUGAGGAGGAAACUGAGGCUUGGAGAGGUUAGAAAAUUUGCCCAAAGUCAUGCAAGCAAUAAACAGAAAAACCAAGAUUUGAACCUAAAUCUGUCUUCAAAGAGAUACAGUGGAUUCAGCUGAGAGUCUCGGAAGAAUUCUGUGGUCAUGAUUCACACAGAAAAUGAAUGCUCUGGACUUCUCUGGCUUCCAGUACAAAGCCACAGUAUGAUCCCUGGGAGAAUGCAACUUUGGUUUCAUAUAACAAAAAUCAGGGAACCUGACCAUGAAGCAUUGGUCCCAUUGACAAUGGAAUCAUUCAUCAACAUUUUCUUCUAAAAAAGCUGAAAACUGAGGAAGCAUCGCUCAAUGGCUCUUCAGUAAUGGACAGUCUCCUGGGAUUUAAAUAAAGUUCUGGGAAAUGACUAGAAUAGGAAGUAAAAUUUUUAGUUUAAAGUGAUUUAUUCAAAUUCUACUCUAAAGCAAACUUCCAUAUUUUAUGGAAUUCAAAUUUUCAAUGUUCUAUUUUUUUGUAGUUUGUCUCACCAUUCUUCCUUAUGUGUGCUAUAUUCCAGCCAAACAGUAUGAGCCACUCUGUUACGUCUUUUUAGCUCUGCUUUUGCUCUUCUUUGACUGCAAUGCAUCCCCCUUGAUUUUGAUUAAUUCUGGAGUUAAAAGGACCUGACUUCAAAUCCCAGCCCUAACAUUUCACUAUCUGUGUAACCUUCAGUAAAUUAUCUAACCAUUUUUCUUAGUUUUAUCUCUUGUAAAAUAAAGAUGAUAAUAAUGCCUAUGAAGUUAUUAUAACCAUUAAUUAAGGUUUCUGAAAAGCACAUUUAAGUUUAUACAAAAGGUAUUCUUAAUAUUACUGUCUUUUAAGGCCUAGCUAGAUAGUAGGCUCUUUAAGAACAGAGAUCAUGUUUGUAUUAUGUCUAUAUGUUCUUAGUGCCUAGAAUGAUGUUUUGUAUAUUAUAGGAACUUGUUAAAUAUAUUUGUUAAAUUGAAUAGAUGUGUUAUGCUAUUUAUUUGUAUCUGCCUCCAGACACUAGACUGCAAGGUCUCUGAAGGCAUCCUAUAGGACCAGGGCUUAAUACAGGACCUGCCACACGGUACCAUUUGUGGAAUGAAUGAGCAUGCAAUGUCUGUAACCAUAAUUUCAUAUUUAUACAUCACAGUUAGAUACAUACUGUGUCUUGUUAUAGGUUCUGUCUUUUCACAAGACUAUAACCUUCUUGAGGGUGGGGUGUAUUAUAAUUCUUUGCAUAUCAAGUCUGGUGAUAAAGGAAAAAAAAUCUCCAUCUGAAUGUCUCAUGGUAAUGGAGACUGUAAACAUUUCUGAAUUGUAUCUGCAGUGAAUUGUAAUGGAAAGUAAACUUAUACAGAUGACUCAAUUUUUCAAAUAAUCAGAUGACAACCAUAAAUGAAACAUUAACAUGGAUCAAGAAAAGCAAAAUAAAGAGCAGAGGAUUACAAGAUUGGUGUUACAGUCUUUCUCUAUCAAG